GUCUACAGCCAUACCACCCUGAACAUGCCUGAUCUCGUCUGAUCUUGGAAGCUAAGCAGAGUUAGGCAGCAGUUAGUAACUGGAAGGGAGAAUCAUAUUGUCAGCAAACA
rnacentral:rRNA from 1 species